AUACGUAGGGCGCGAGCGUUGUCCGGAAUUACUGGGUGUAAAGGGAGCGUAGGCGGGAGUGCAAGUCAGAUGUGAAAUACAUGGGCUCAACCCAUGGGCUGCAUUUGAAACUGCAUUUCUUGAGUGAAGUAGAGGUAAGCGGAAUUCCUGGUGUAGCGGUGAACUGCGUAGAUAUCAGGAGGAACACCGGUGGCGAAGGCGGCUUACUGGGCUUUUACUGACGCUGAGGCUCGAAAGCGUGGGGAGCAAACAGGAUUAGAUACCCUGGUAGUCCACGCUGUAAACGAUGAUUACUAGGUGUGGGGGGACUGACCCCUUCCGUGCCGCAGUUAACACAAUAAGUAAUCCACCUGGGGAGUACGGCCGCAAGGUUGAAACUCAAAUGAAUUGACGGGG
rnacentral:rRNA from 1 species